rnacentral:rRNA from 1 species
CUGGGGUACAACUGACACUGAGGCUCGAAAGUGUGGGUAUCAAACAGGAUUAGAUACCCUGGUAGUCCACACAGUAAACGAUGAAUACUCGCUGUUUGCGAUAUACAGUAAGCGGCCAAGCGAAAGCAUUAAGUAUUCCACCUGGGGAGUACGCCGGCAACGGUGAAACUCAAAGGAAUUGACGGGGGCCCGCACAAGCGGAGGAACAUGUGGUUUAAUUCGAUGAUACGCGAGGAACCUUACCCGGGCUUGAAUUGCAGAGGAACAUAGUUGAAAGAUUAUGGCCGCAAGGUCUCUGUGAAGGUGCUGCAUGGUUGUCGUCAGCUCGUGCCGUGAGGUGUCGGCUUAAGUGCCAUAACGAGCGCAACCCUUAUCAUUAGUUACUAACAGGUCAUGCUGAGGACUCUAGUGAGACUGCCGUCGUAAGAUGUGAGGAAGGUGGGGAUGACGUCAAAUCAGCACGGCCCUUACGUCCGGGGCUACACACGUGUUACAAUGGGGGGUACAGAGGGCAGCUACCGGGCGACCGGAUGCCAAUCCCAAAAACCUCUCUCAGUUCGGAUCGAAGUCUGCAACCCGACUUCGUGAAGCUGGAUUCGCUGGUAAUCG